AAGAUUGGAUUUACUGUUGAGUUUUUGGGACCUAUUUCAAGAUUUCUUCAGUUCAGACCAAGAGAGCGGCCGAUUCUAGUGGUGACGAGAGCAAGCAGACCUGAACAAGUCAUAGGUGUGUGUUCGUGUUUUCCAACCAAGACGAUGAUUUAAUGACUCAAGAUUUAAGGAUGAAGUAGAUACAGAACAUAAACGGUCGCCAGCGUUCUUACACUAACAACAUCCAACUGAUUAAAAGAGGUUUAUGUUUGCGUCCCACCUGGUGAUGAUUUAUUUGACUCGGAACAUAAAACGGUCGCCGCCGUUCAUACAGUAACACUAACAACAUCAAACUGAUUUUAAAAAGUAAGAUCGGUCUUGGUCUUUGACUCAUCACCUCAUCUUUUGCUUGUCCGCUUCCAUUAAAAAAUCAGUGAAAUGCUAUGGUUUUAAGGACGAAGAAGGUUCAGGGCAAAGCAAUCAAAUGAUGUUCUUCUCAGAGCUGUUGGAUGGUUCGUGUGGCUCUUGAAGUAUUUGUCAAUUUAAGACCGAUAACAGUGUUACCACAAGUACAGUAUCUCUUUUAGGCAGAUCACUGCUUAUGAUCAUCCGGGAGCUUACUGGAGGUAUUUACAAUGCGCAUCCUCGGGGUUUUACCACAAAUGAACAAGGUGAGGAAGUUUGCUUUUGUACUGAGUCCUAUUCUGCAAGUGAGUAUCAGGAGAUGCCCAUUGGAAGAGCCGCUUUGGGAGUUUCCUUUCCGGAUUAUACCAUCAAUCAGAUGCAAUGCUCUUGGAGCCAUUGGAGGGUUUAGGGUACAAGUCGGAGAACAGUGAAAAGCAUCUGAGGCCUGAGAAGGGGUUACUCCAGCUUCGUGCAGCUCUUAAAAGUCUUUGCAAAUCUGAGACCUGCUACAGUUGUGUCACAGUUAAGUGGAUGCUUUCACCUUGAAGAGAGAGGUAGCAGAAGUUGUUGAUCUAGUGGAUGCUUACAUGAGGAGACAAAGAAAAAUUGCGUAUGCCAUGAACAAGCUUCUGCAAAAUGAGAUGAAUCGCCGAGCGACAAGUCUGCAAAAUCUUUUACUCGAGGCUUACUUGUGCUUGCAUUGCAUCUGGCUAUUUCGUCCCCUAGAAAUACCCUAAAUGAAUCUUCUUUAAAAUUUGAGAAUUGAACUUCGCUGCUGUAUUCAGGUAGACUCGUAGAGAUGUAAUAAGUCGUCUGAGUGUUAUUAUUAGAAGUUUAGAACAGAGACAAGGAGGAGUUCGAUUGUUAUGCCCAGUGGCAUAAAAUUAGGACUAGUGAGGCCCAAGUACAGAAGUCCAGUGGCAAAAUUAGUUAGUAAUGUUCCUUUUUAUUAUAGUGAUUUCCUUUUUUUCUUUUUUUCCGUUAGGUUGUUUAUUUUAAUUCGUAUUUCCUUUUUUAAAUAGUAAUCUCCUUUUUUAUAUAAUAUUAAAAAGGAUUUCCUUUUUGCGUUAGGGUUAUGUCCUUUUGUUUAUCUGUUUGACUGUUUAUAAAAACUUUUAUUACGCUCUUCACUUGGCUUUUUGAGAGAGAGCGAGCGAUAGAGAGCGAAAGCGAGAAAGAGAGUUCGAUUAUAAUGGCGACGAGGGAAAGAGAGGAAACAGACAUCAAGAAGUCAGAGAAGGUCUGUUCCAACCAGAAAGAGUGAGAUAGACAGGGAGCGAGCGAGAGAGAGGGUUCGAUUAUAAUGGCGACGAGCGAGAGCGAGAGAGAGAGAGAGAGAGAGAGAGAGAGAGAGAGAAGUCAGAGGUAUCGUUUCGUGUUUCCUUCUAAAACCCUAAGAUGAAUCGAUUUUGAUUUUCGUGGUGAAUGUUUUUUGCUGGAGGUAUCGUUUUUGUGUUCGUGUUCCAACCUUAAGGACGAUGAAGCAGUCGCCGGCGUUCUUACGGUAAAACAACAUCAAAACUAAUGGAUCAAAAAGGUGUUGUGUUCCUGUGUUCCAACCCCGACUGACGAUGGUUUAUUCGACUCUGUUUUUUUCUUGUCAGUCGCCUGGCGUUCUAACUGUGUGUGUGGUGUUCGUGUUCCAACCUGAAGGGCAAUUACUCACACUUUUUGGGAGGACCAAGUCGAUUCAGAACAUAAAAACGGUCGCCGGCGUUGUUACAGUAUCACUAACUGGUCGAUUAAAAAGGUCUGUGUUCGUGUUCUAACCAGGAAGAUGAUGUAUUUGACUCAGUUCGUAUCCCACAGAAGUUGACUAGUUGUUGAUGACUUGAUGCCAUGACUGACUGGACGAGAAGCUGCAUGCAGGGCCAUGAUGGCAAUUUCUCAAUAUUUGUUCCUUCCCUCUAUACCUGGAGGCUACAACUCAGAUCCAAGUUCUUCUCUGAUCCGCAAGUUAAUGACAGGUGAGAUGUUCCUUAUAUAAAGCCAGAACUAAGGUCUGUUUCUUACGGAUCCGACAUGAAGCCAGAACUAAGGUGUCUGCUACAUGUUCUUGAUCACACCUUCUUGCUUCCUCUACCAGCAACUCAGCUUCUCUCUCUUCUCCAUGGUGCAUGCUGGCCAUGGAGGAUACACAAGGAGCCAAGUGAAGAGCCCAGGAGUUUGUUCUGUUUACUGGUGGACUCGUGGUAGGAGGAUGCAGAGCCAAACUCAAAGGCCAAGGUGCAUGUUGGCCAUGGAGGAUACACAAGGAGCCAAGUGAAGAGCACUCAAAAAAAUUCAGCAUUUACUCUUCACUGGAGAGGUGAUAUUUCCAUGGAUGUUUGAUGAGAUUCAUGCCUUGAAGCCAUUCAAAGCUGCCGCUUUUCUCUUGGCCAGCCAAGGAGGAGGAUUUUGCCUCUCCAUUAUAUGAUUGUUGCUACAUUAAAAACUAAAAGGUGCAUGCUGGCCAUGGAAGAUACUCAAGGAGCCUAGUGACGACUGAAGAGCCUAGUAAAGACUGAAGAGCCCAGAUGCUUGUUCUGUUGACUGGUGGACUCAAGGAAGGAGGUUGCUUGAAGAGCAAACUCAAAGGCCAAGAUUGUACAUGAUGAGCUAGUGAGAUUCACGGCUGGAGGAGUAGUAUCUGAGCUACACUUUGCUAACUCAUGUCCUUAAGUAAUUUUGUUGGCUGCGCUCCAAGGAGUUGGAAAGACAAUGGUCUGCUUUAAAAUACCUUGUUACCUAAAGAAGCAGCAGGAGAAUUCAUGCAUGAUUAUAGCUGGAUAUGUAUAUUGACCUGGCUCACCCUGCACACAAAGGAGGCAAUAAGAUUACACUAUGGUGUGUUUUAGAAGCAAUUCCGACUUGUGGAGAGUUCUUCUUCUAGGGUUUGGUUUGGUUUGAAAGCAAAGUCUAUGAUCUGAGAUCAUCAUCGCUCGCUCCUACACUGCUUCUGAAUCUUCACUCCUCCUACGGAAUGGGAUCAUUGUCUCUUGUUGCUUGCAUUAGUGGUUAUUGACAACAGUCUUCCUGAUGUGUCGUCUCAGUCUGAUUUUGGAAACCAAACCAAUUAUUUGUUUUAAGCUUGCUUAUGGCCUGACGUGGUUACAUGUGGGGAAGAGUACAUUACUUAAUCACAACAUGAUGACAAAUUUGCAGAUUUCAUCAUCAAAGAGAGUGCCUCUUGUCACACCUGUUUGCGGAUCAGCUUCUGUUGGCAAGUCCACUAAUAGCUAGCUAGUAGCUACACAACUUGCUCAGAGACUAAACUUGCCAAACGUCUAACAGACGGACAUGGCAUAUGAGCUUCUUCGAACAGCAACUGAGUACGUUUUUUUCUCCUUUUUAAUGAUGGACAUACUAUGAAGAAGAUAUAUCCAAACAUGUGUGGAGUUCCCUUUGGAGUUGGGCUUCGACUUUCUCCCCUUACCUGAGCAGUAACCAAGAUUCCCAAGUUCCUACGAAAUACCAUCUCUAUGCCAUUGUGGAGCAUCUUGGGAUUAUAGCAUCUUUUGGUAAUUACUCCUCUUACGUGAGAUCAGCUAUGGUCCUGUUCAACUAUGUUAAUCUCUUGCUAUGAUUACAGAGUGGAAACAGAGGCUUGACUGGUUGGGAGCCCAUCCGUGUAUAUCCACAGGACACCUGAAGGACGUAUUUGAUGCAGAAGAUCGAAAGGAGAUGCUUACUUUCACCAGAACGAAGACAGUUCAUUGGGAUUACACGUUGAGAGAAAGAGUGUUUCAGAUCAUACCAGCUGAAGCUUCUAAGGUACUCAUCAAAUCAGUCCUUUGGAGUUGGACUUUGCUUCUUCCCUUACAUGAGCAAUAGUAACCAAGAUUCCCAAGUUUCUACAAAAUCCCAUUUUUCUGCCAUUGUGGAGCAUAUAUAUAUAGCAUCUUUUGUUCAUUACUCCUUUUAUGCGAGGUCAGCUCCUUAGUCCUUAGACAUGGCAUAAGGGAAGUCUGGUGCUAACGAAGUCAGCUUUCCCUUCUGGUACUAAAGCGCCUGCGGAUUAUGUUCACAGAAAGAGCCUUAAGCUCUGGAUUUACUCAGAUGCCGGCAGCACCAUGCCUGGUUCUUUAGGCCAUGAGGAGCAUAAUCCCAAUAUCUUUACAGAAUGGGUUGGGAAUGCACUUUCGGAUCCAUAUCUUCCAUCUGCAGCUGAAUUAAAUGGUUUAGCUGGGCCACGCAAUGGAAGUUCUGCUGCUGUGGAUCAGAUCACUUGUCACAGUUGCCAAAAAUGUGUUUUGAAAGCAAGUUUGUUAUGUGAUCAUCGCUCCCCCGGCCUCUGAAUUCAUACUUGUGGAAUUUUCAUCUAGGAUUUGGUUGUUUUACAUAUGGGGGAGUGCUGAGUUUGUAAGCCAUCAUCAAUCACUUCCUGCAAAAAUACAUAUUUGUUGCGUCAAGUUCAUAGAAUUAAAAAAAUGUGCGCAAUAAAUUAUUUGUGUUUUCAACCAACUCACACAUUACCUUCCUGACAACAUACUUACCAUCUAAGUCCCGUCUCAGUCUAAACCACCCACCAGCCGGUUGUGUAUUCCUUUCAGUUCUUUAAGAAAAUGCAGACUCAUAAAAGCGUCAGUUAUGCAGUAAUGUACGGAGUGAAUCAUGCUGAAAAUUUUGGCUCACCUUGCAUCAUCUAGCUUGAGAGCUAGCUAUAUGUUUCCAUGCAUUGAGGCAAAAUCAUUCUCCUCAUGCUUCUCAGCU